rnacentral:rRNA from 1 species
AUUGAACGCUGGCGGCAGGCCUAACACAUGCAAGUCGAGCGGAUGAAGGGAGCUUGCUCCUGGAUUCAGCGGCGGACGGGUGAGUAAUGCCUAGGAAUCUGCCUGGUAGUGGGGGAUAACGUCCGGAAACGGGCGCUAAUACCGCAUACGUCCUGAGGGAGAAAGUGGGGGAUCUUCGGACCUCACGCUAUCAGAUGAGCCUAGGUCGGAUUAGCUAGUUGGUGGGGUAAAGGCCUACCAAGGCGACGAUCCGUAACUGGUCUGAGAGGAUGAUCAGUCACACUGGAACUGAGACACGGUCCAGACUCCUACGGGAGGCAGCAGCGGGGAAUAUUGGACAAUGGGCGAAAACCUGAUCCAGCCAUGCCGCGUGUGUGAAGAAGGUCUUCGGAUUGUAAAGCACUUUAAGUUGGGAGGAAGGGCAGUAAGUUAAUACCUUGCUGUUUUGACGUUACCAACAGAAUAAGCACCGGCUAACUUCGUG